rnacentral:rRNA from 1 species
UGUAAGCGUAUACCAAAGUUGUUGCAGUUAAAACGCUCGUAGUCGGAAUUUGGCAGUUCCGGAUGUGUGCACGUCGUGUGCGCACUUCGCGGGGAUUGCUUUUGUGGUCUUGCGUAGGAUGAGGCACUUUUAUUAGUGAACGUCCUCACGCAACCACUUUUUACUGUGAGAAAAUCAGAGUGCUCAAAGCAGGCAUUUGCCGUGAAUGUAUUAGCAUGGAAUAAUAGAAUAGGACUUGGCUCUAUUUUGUUGGUUUGUUGGGACUGAGUAACGAUUAAGAGGGACAGUUGGGGGCAUUUGUAUUUCGGUGCUAGAGGUGAAAUUCUUAGAUUACCGAAAGACAAACUGCUGCGAAAGCGUCUGCCAAGGAUGUUUUCAUUGA